UUGCUGUGAUGACUAUCUUAGGACACCUUUGGAACACCCAUGAAAAAAAAAUAAGUUGUUAUUUCUGAGCAAC
rnacentral:snoRNA from 1 species